rnacentral:rRNA from 1 species
AGAGUUUGAUCCUGGCUCAGAAGGAACGCUGGCAGCGUGCAUAACACAUGCAAGUCGAACGCGAAAGAAUCCUUCGGGAUUUGGACGAGUGGCGAACGGGUGAGGAACACGUAAGAAUCUACCUUUCGGUUGGGGAUAACUUCUGGAAACGGGAGCUAAUACCCAAUAUGCUGUGGAGUGAAAGAAUUUCGCCGAGAGACGAUCUUGCGUCUGAUUAGCUUGUUGGGGUGGUAAUGGCACACCAAGGCGACGAUCAGUAGCUGGUCUGAGAGGAUGGACAGCCACAUUGGGACUGAGACACGGCCCAGACUCCUACGGGAGGCAGCAGUGGGGAAUUUUCCGCAAUGGACGAAAGUCUGACGGAGCGACGCUGCGUGAAGGAUGAAGGCCCGUGGGUUGUAAACUUCUUUUCUCGAAGAAGAAAAAAAUGACGGUAUUCGAGGAAUAAGCAUCGGCUAACUCUGUGCCAGCAGCCGCGGUAAGACAGAGGAUGCAAGUGUUAUUCGGAAUGAUUGGGCGUAAAGAGUCUGUAGGCGGUUUAGAAAGUCUUUUGUGAAAUACUUCAGCUCAACUGAGGCUCCGCAAAAGAAACUUCUAGACUUGAGGAAAGUAGAGGUACAGGGAAUUUCCGGUGGAGCGGUGAAAUGCGUAGAUAUCGGAAGGAACACCAAUAUGGCGAAGGCACUGUACUGGGCUUUU